rnacentral:rRNA from 1 species
UACGGGGGGGGCAAGCGUUGUUCGGAAUUACUGGGCGUAAAGGGCUCGUAGGCGGCCACCUAAGUCGGAUGUGAAAUCCCCAAGCUUAACUUGGGAACUGCAUCCGAUACUGGAUGGCUUGAAUCCGGGAGAGGGAUGCAGAAUUCCAGGUGUAGCGGUGAAAUGCGUAGAUAUCUGGAGGAAUACCGGUGGCGAAGGCGGCAUCCUGGACCGGCAUUGACGCUGAGGAGCGAAAGCUAGGGGAGCAAACGGG